UGGAAAUGUUUAUCCUCUUGGGUAUCUCUUUGAUUACUAGAAAUGCAGCUUUAUUCCUUUUGUUUUUCCUUCUUUUUUAAUGCUGGUUCAAUUUGGAUUUCUGUUUAAUUCUUUUGUUUCUCUCAUUUCUACUUGUCUAUUUAAUCUUGGUUCAAUUAAUUGUUUCCUUAAAUAGCCCAAAAAAUUGGCUGAACCAAUGAACCAAAGUGAACUAAACAUUCGAUUUGGUUCAUUUUUCUAUCAAGUUCAGUUUAUUCAGUUUUGAGAAUUUUUAGACUGAACCAACCAAUGCUCACCCCUUUUAGUGAUAAGUUCAACACCUAACAAGUGACAUUUAUCCAAUAUCCUGAUAGAUAUACCUCGUCAACUCAUUUAUGACCAAAGAAAAAUGAGAGGCACAAGUUUUAUCACUAGUGGAACCCACAACUAUGAUGAGAAUUUCCUCCAUAUGAGAUUAAGUAUGCCUAUGAAAGAUUUUAACCUCAAUAUAUAGCCAGUCCCAAACUUAGAAAAAGGAGGGUUGACAACGUAAAAUUUUGUUACAUCUCAGUGCUAUGGAUCCUUAAGAUAUAUCCAUAACGUAUACCUGAAAACUCAACAUUUGAAGUUUUGAUUUCUCAAGUGCAAAUUCUCAUAAAAUGCAGAAGACUAUGUUUUAGGAGUUGGGCAACGCCCGCUCAAUCAACACCUGGAUAUUUGGUUUUCCCUAUUCAUUGAUCUUCUAUUUCUCCCUUUAUUUUCCUUUACUGCUUGCUCAUUCUCAGCUCUCUUUCUUUCUACUUUUUGCUGCACUAUUGGGUGCAAUUUUGUCCUACAUCAGGUAGGAUGAAUGUAGAGACUGAUUGGAGCAAAGGAAAGGAGGGAAAUUUGCUUGCUGUUUGCUUUCAAUAGUAAUUGGAGAUAAUGUCA
rnacentral:misc_RNA from 1 species